rnacentral:rRNA from 1 species
AUUGAACGCUGGCGGCAUGCUUUACACAUGCAAGUCGAACGGUAACAGGCCUUCGGGUGCUGACGAGUGGCGAACGGGUGAGUAAUGCAUCGGAACGUGCCCAGAGGUGGGGGUAACGCCGGCAAAACCUGUCUUAUUCCCCCAUGUGACCGGAGAUUGAAGGCGGGGACCAGGCCGGCAUUGUUUGCCCUGCCGCUUUUGAACCGCCGAUGUCAGAUUAGGUAGUUGGUGGGGUAAAGGCCUACCAAGCCGACGAUCUGUAGCUGGUCUGAGAGGACGACCAGCCACACUGGGACUGAGACACGGCCCAGACUCCUACGGGAGGCAGCAGUGGGGAAUUUUGGACAAUGGGCGCAAGCCUGAUCCAGCAAUGCCGCGUGCGGGAAGAAGGCCUUCGGGUUGUAAACCGCUUUUGUACGGAACGAAAAGGCUCUGGCUAAUACCUGGGGCUGAUGACGGUACCGUAAGAAUAAGCACCGGCUAACUACGUG